CGAGUGGCGAACGGGUGAGUAACGCGUGGGUAACCUGCCUCAUACAGGGGGAUAACAGUUAGAAAUGACUGCUAAUACCGCAUAAGGCCACAGCACCGCAUGGUGCAGGGGUAAAAACUCCGGUGGUAUGAGAUGGACCCGCGUCUGAUUAGGUAGUUGGCGGGGUAACGGCCCACCAAGCCGACGAUCAGUAGCCGACCUGAGAGGGUGACCGGCCACAUUGGGACUGAGACACGGCCCAAACUCCUACGGGAGGCAGCAUG
rnacentral:rRNA from 1 species